GAUGAACGCUGGCGGCGUGCCUAAUACAUGCAAGUCGAGCGAACAGACGAGGAGCUUGCUCCUCUGACGUUAGCGGCGGACGGGUGAGUAACACGUGGAUAACCUACCUAUAAGACUGGGAUAACUUCGGGAAACCGGAGCUAAUACCGGAUAAGAUAUUGAACCGCAUGGUUCAAUAGUGAAAGACGGUUUUGCUGUCACUUAUAGAUGGAUCCGCGCCGCAUUAGCUAGUUGGUAAGGUAACGGCUUACCAAGGCAACGAUGCGUAGCCGACCUGAGAGGGUGAUCGGCCACACUGGAACUGAGACACGGUCCAGACUCCUACGGGAGGCAGCAGUAGGGAAUCUUCCGCAAUGGGCGAAAGCCUGACGGAGCAACGCCGCGUGAGUGAUGAAGGUCUUCGGAUCGUAAAACUCUGUUAUUAGGGAAGAACAAAUGUGUAAGUAACUAUGCACGUCUUGACGGUACCUAAUCAGAAAGCCACGGCUAACUACGUG
rnacentral:rRNA from 1 species